CUACGUGCCAGCAGCCGCGGUAAUACGUAUGUCACAAGCGUUAUCCGGAUUUAUUGGGCGUAAAGCGCGUCUAGGUGGUUAUGUAAGUCUGAUGUGAAAAUGCAGGGCUCAACUCUGUAUUGCGUUGGAAACUGCAUGACUAGAGUACUGGAGAGGUAAGCGGAACUACAAGUGUAGAGGUGAAAUUCGUAGAUAUUUGUAGGAAUGCCGAUGGGGAAGCCAGCUUACUGGACAGAUACUGACGCUAAAGCGCGAAAGCGUGGGUAGCAAACAGGAUUAGAUACCCUGGUAGUCCACGCCGUAAACGAUGAUUACUAGGUGUUGGGGGUCGAACCUCAGCGCCCAAGCUAACGCGAUAAGUAAUCCGCCUGGGGAGUACGUACGCAAGUAUGAAACUCAAAGGAAUUGACGGGGGCCCGCACAAGCGGUGGAGUAUGUGGUUUAAUUCGACGCAACGCGAAGAACCUUACCAGGUCUUGACAUUGAUGGACAGAACUAGAGAUAG
rnacentral:rRNA from 1 species